GAUGUAUUGCAGUCUGGCUGUAUUGCACCUACAUAAAGCACUUUAAACAAACCACCGUGAUACCAUCAACAGACCAGAAACGAGUUGUGACACUGCCAGAAAGUGACUCAAAAUGAUAGCAGCACAAGUCUUUUUAUCAAACAGCUUGUGUGCCAGAUUGCCAAUAACUCAAAAAACAAGCAAUUACUCGGGUAACAAUCAAGGAAGCACCUGAAAAUGAUCCUAGGAUUAGUUCUAGAGUGGAUUAAAAGAACAAGAAAAGAUCACAAGUCGAAAUUGAGCUGAAAUCAGUGGUGCAGUGCAAUGUUUACAAACUGUUUGUGAAAAUGUCAUAAAGACAUAUAAGUUUGAUGCAGAAUUAUGAAU
rnacentral:lncRNA from 1 species